rnacentral:rRNA from 1 species
GAGUUUGAUUAUGGCUCAGGACGAACGCUGGCGGCGUGCCUAAUACAUGCAAGUAGAACGCUGAAGGAAUAGCUUGCUAUUCUGGAAGAGUUGCGAACGGGUGAGUAACGCGUAGGUAACCUACCUCAUAGCGGGGGAUAACUAUUGGAAACGAUAGCUAAUACCGCACUAAGAAUACUUAUUGCAUGAUAAGUAUUUAAAAGGAACAACUGUUUCACUGUGAGAUGGACCUGCGUUGUAUUAGCUAGUUGGUAAGGUAACGGCUUACCAAGGCGACGAUACAUAGCCGACCUGAGAGGGUGAUCGGCCACACUGGGACUGAGACACGGCCCAGACUCCUACGGGAGGCAGCAGUAGGGAAUCUUCGGCAAUGGGGGCAACCCUGACCGAGCAACGCCGCGUGAGUGAAGAAGGUUUUCGGAUCGUAAAGCUCUGUUGUCAGCCAAGAAUGUAUGUGAGAGUGGAAAGUUCACA